GGAAGGGCUGGUAGACAGACUCACAUACCCAGCGCUGAUAAGAAGUUCUGUGCAAAUCUCUUUCAUGCUUUGCUUUUCCUCUGAUAAAUGUUUAAGAAGAGAUUUGUCUUACCAUAACGACUGUGGUGUGAGAAAGUGAAAAGAGCAGGGAUUUUAUAUUCCUGAAUUAGAGAUUUACAAAUUUUCUUUUACUUUUUAUUUGUUAAAUGGGGUGUGCUACCAGCAUCAGCUACCAUCUCCCAUGCCCUUACAUCCUUACACUGCUGUGGUUCCAAGCCACUCAUGUGUACAAGUUUGAAGGAGCAGGGCAGGUACCUCUGUGGUGUUCCAGUGUCUGUUUUUCUCUGGAUGGAAACAGGACAGCCCAGGCCCCACCCUGCCGGUGGAAAGUUCAUGGAAACCAUCAAUCAGCACCAGUUGCCUUUAGCAACCAACAACAAAUCUGCCCCCUUUGGCCACGGAGAUCGAGAGUGCGUGGUUAUUACUGCAUCGAUGUUCAGCUGAGGAGUCCUGGCAUUGAGAAGACUCCACCUGUAAGAACUUCCAGAGAGCACAAAGAAGACUGGGAGGUCCUGGGGGAACUCUCCCACCAGAAAGCACAUUUCAGGCUUUCCACACUGCUUCCUCAUCACAUCAUCAGCAAGAGAGGGAAUGACUUGGACACUCUACAACAUGGAAGCCUGUACCCUAGGAAACCUGAUAGCAGCCAGACUGGAUGUGCCAGAAAUCAGAACUGCUUCUUGGAUGCACAGAGAGAUCUGCAGGAACCUCUCUACUCUGAACAGUGGAAAACAGUCAGUACUUACCUUGCCCUCUCCCACACUGCUGGUCACUGUUCCUAGCUUGAGGAGCAGAGUGCAGAGUACUGCCCACAUUAUACUGUGCCAUCCUUCAGACAGCAUUGGCAUACACCAGAAUAAUACUACCAGGGGUGGAGGACAAGGACUGAUUCCUGAAAUGGGGUCUUGUGCUGUGGCAGGGUGGCAGAGUACCAGGGAAUGCUGGGCAGGGGCGGUCAGGGUUGGUGGUGCCCUUGAUGCAGGGAAGGCCCAAAUCUUUCAGUAUGCACUGAUUGUAGAUGAACUUAGAUACCAACACAAAGUUUCUGUGGUGGAUAAUUAUGGACAAGCCUCAGUGAUUUAGGAGCAUGCGUGCUUAUGAAGCUCAGCAAACUCUGAAUAAAUGCAUAAGGAAAUCACGGUCACUGCUUCAAGUGUCUCUAUUUACAGACACCUAAAAAUAGCAGUGACUAAAGCAAGGUACCUCGAGUUAACGCUGUGUCCUGAGUUGUCAUGUACACAUCAUGGUUAAAACAGCUCUCAGCUCUUAAAGUCAAUGCUCAGAAACUUCUUCAGAACAUUUUAAAGUUAAUAGCAUUCUUUACCCUCAAAGCAGGCAUACUUAACUGUGAGCUGAUUUUGCUGUACAGUCACUUUGACACCUACAUUUAGUUAACGCUUCUUUAUCCAGCCCCACCAGCGAGACCUGUAGAGUGGCAACACUCCUUGAUUACUGACAUGACUGCCAGAGCUUUAAUGUGGUCUAAGUGUCACCACGUUUCACAUCAAGACAGGCACAAGUCCCAGUAUCAAUCAAAGUGACUCUGGGUGGAGUUUCCCAUAUACCUUAUUAGCUUAAAAUAUUACAGUGAUCAUAGCCCCCUGUAUAGAAUGGUUCUUGGGGAGGCAGAGCAGUCCAAGAGUCAAUUCAUCAGUGAUAAUUUUUCUACUUGGAGAAAAUAUAUAACAGUGAUUAUCAGUGGAAUUGCCUACUGCUUAUUUAAAAUAAAUUUCAUUCUGCCUUUCUGUCCUAUUCAAGAACUUUCUAAAGUUCUUGUACUACAAAAGGGGGACUGACGUGGGAUCCAGAAUGUUCCUAUUUGUAUUUUUUUGGAGCUAUAAUUGCCAAUGUUUGAAGUGCGUUGACAUGAAUCAGAAACAGCUGGAGCUUCAGUCAGCAAAAUGGGAAACAUAGGUGGUGCAUAAUCAUUGAAUUAAGAAGCUUCACUGCUGCCCAGAAUGACUGAUUGGAUAUUAUCUAAUGGCAAAAGAAGAGAUAUUGUUAACAUCUGAUGGUUUUAAUUUCAAGUAUUUUUAGGAGAUGCAUCAAUCGAAGCAGUGAUUAGACAAAAGUGGACAAAACCGUCAGCUGAUUGCUUUUAAACAUUACAAUCUCAUUUAAAAAUGAAUGAGAAAAAAGUCUAUAACUUUACUCAGCUGUAAUUUUGGCCUCCUCACAUAUUAUGAACUUGCUCUGUUUUGCAGACAUCAAAGGGAACAGAUUUAUGUAAAACAACCAACACUCCUUUCUCCUCCACAUGAAUAAUUCCUGUAGCUGAUUUCUACUGGGAAAGAGAAAUACCUUUUAUUUCUGUUGUGUACCCAGACACAAUUUAGAGCAAUUAGCUGCACUUAGGAUACUUCAGAUUAUUGUCCAUUCUUCUGACAGUUCAAGGAAAGUGGCCCAACAAGAUCUGUUUUGAAAGAGAGAUUAUGAAUAUGGCCAAAGCAGUGUACGCAGCUGGGUUCAAGUGCUUCAUUUCCAAUGUCUUUGUUUUGGUAGGAAAUGAUGAUUGAGUCUGAUGCUUGUACACAUUGUACCAUCAAAAUUGGUAUUUCUGGACUGCCUGUUCAAACGGUGCCUCUGACACUCUUUCCAGUUAGCAUCUCCAAGGCUUACAGCAGAUAAUUGUUUGAUGGGUUCUUAUCUCCACUGUUAUUCGGAAAGUCUAUUUGGAAAUAAUGGCUUAAAAAUAAAAUAAAAGCAGAGGCAACAUUAUCAGAAUCAUUUACCGUAGGCAAUCCAAAUGAAAUCUCUAGAGGAAAGAUUAUCCAACCUCCACAUCCAUAGCAACUAUGAAACAAAAAGCUAUGAAAUAAAGGAGUUGGUAUUCUGGAGUUCCUUUAGUUGUCUCUCCUUCCCAACUCAGUGAAGAAGUUUUUCAGUGCUUCUGUAUGUCUGAACAUGUAGACUCUGUAUGUUCUUAAUGUCACGUAGUCAAAGCCAUUGCUAUGAUUUCUUCAGUAUGGCUGCUUUUCUGUGUUGGAGUAGGAAAGCAGAUUAAAACAUAACUAUGUCUGUCUGCUUUUCAUGGUCUAUUAAGACAUUAAGUCCUGUGUUUCCCUCUCUUUUCAGAGCCAUCACUGUGCCAGAUACUGAAGCUAGCAGUGACUGUAUUUAAACAAAGAUUUAAUAUACAGAGGUCUAGUAUGGUAUCCUUAGCCAUCAUGGAUAAGAGGUUUCAGGUUCCAUCAACUCUCCAUUUUAUUUAAUGUAUGAGUCAG
ensembl:lncRNA